rnacentral:rRNA from 1 species
UACGAAGGGGGCUAGCGUUGCUCGGAAUCACUGGGCGUAAAGGGCGCGUAGGCGGCCAUUCAAGUCGGGGGUGAAAGCCUGUGGCUCAACCACAGAAUUGCCUUCGAUACCGUUUGGCUUGAGUCUGGUAGAGGUUGGUGGAACUGCGAGUGUAGAGGUGAAAUUCGUAGAUAUUCGCAAGAACACCGGUGGCGAAGGCGGCCAACUGGACCAGUACUGACGCUGAGGCGCGAAAGCGUGGGGAGCAAACAGG